UUCUCCGGCAUUAAGUGCAAGGUUGGGACUUUCGUUUCACGCAAGCCUGAAAUCAUCCAAAAUGGAUGAUGGAUCUCCGGCAAUCCGGCGUGCAUGCGGCUCACUGCGCAAGAAAUGCUUGGUCAAGUGAUUAUCUCAAAUCAAUGCGCGGAAAAGGCACGAAGGUGUGGAGCGUAUCGGGGCUGGCGUCGGAUCUGUAACAAAUGGCCAUGAUGCAGCGGCACCCUGGUCCUUUGCUUCUUCUUUUUUUUCCAUUUUCAUUUAUUUGUUUGUACAUUCCUUUGGAAAUGAGACAAGCGCUGAGUUU